CGCGUAGGCGGUCUCUUAAGUCAGGUGUGAAAGCCCGGGGCUCAACCCCGGAAGUGCACUUGAAACUAAGGGACUUGAGUAUGGGAGAGGGAAGUGGAAUUCCUGGUGUAGCGGUGAAAUGCGUAGAUAUCAGGAGGAACACCGGUGGCGAAGGCGACUUCCUGGACCAAUACUGACGCUGAGGCGCGAAGGCGUGGGUAGCAAACA
rnacentral:rRNA from 1 species